GUCGUCAGCUUGUGUUGUGAAAUGUUGGGUUAAGUCCCGCAACGAGCGCAACCCUUAUCCUUGUUUGCCAGCACUUCGGGUGGGAACUCCAGGGAGACUGCCGGUGAUAAACCGGAGGAAGGUGGGGACGACGUCAAGUCAUCAUGGCCCUUACGAGUAGGGCUACACACGUGCUACAAUGGCGCAUACAGAGGGCGGCCAACUUGCGAAAGUGAGCGAAUCCCAAAAAGUGCGUCGUAGUCCGGAUUGGAGUCUGCAACUCGACUCCAUGAAGUCGGAAUCGCUAGUAAUCGUGGAUCAGAAUGCCACGGUGAAUACGUUCCCGGGCCUUGUACACACCGCCCGUCACACCAUGGGAGUGGGCUGCAAAAGAAGUGGGUAGUUUAACCUUCGGGAGGACGCUCACCACUUUGUGGUUCAUGACUGGGGUGAAGUCGUAACAAGGUAACCG
rnacentral:rRNA from 1 species